GUAGGUGGCAAGCGUUGUCCGGGAAUUAUUGGGGCGUAAAGCGCGCGCAGGCGGUUCUUUAAGUCUGAUGUGAAAGCCCACGGGCUCAACCGUGGAAGGUCAUUGGAAACUGGAGAACUUGAGUACAGAAGAGGAAAGCGGAAUUCCACGUGUAGAGGUGAAAUGCGUAGAGAUGUGGAGGAACACCAGUGGCGAAGGCGGCUUUCUGGUCUGUAACUGACGCUGAGGCGCGAAGGCGUGGGGAGCAAACAGGAUUAGAUACCCUGGUAGUCCACGCCGUAAACGAUGAGUGCUAAGUGUUAGGGGGUUUCCGCCCCUUAGUGCUGCAGCUAACGCAUUAAGCACUCCGCCUGGGGAGUACGGCCGCAAAGGCUGA
rnacentral:rRNA from 1 species